rnacentral:rRNA from 1 species
UACGUAGGGUCCAAGCGUUGUCCGGAUUUAUUGGGCGUAAAGAGCUCGUAGGCGGUUCCGUAAGUCGGAUGUGAAAACUCAGGGCUCAACCCGGAGACGCCAUCUGAUACUGCGGUGACUGGAGUCUGGUAGGGGAUCACGGAAUACCUGGUGUAGCGGUGAAAUGCGCAGAUAUCAGGUGGAACACCGAUGGCGAAGGCAGUGAUCUGGGCCAGUACUGACGCUGAGGAGUGAAAGCGUGGGGAGCAAACAGG